rnacentral:misc_RNA from 1 species
CCCUUUUUCUCUCCAAUUCCGAUUUCUCCUCUCUGUUUCCUUGCCUGAAAGCUACUCCUUUUUCUUGGGUAUAUUGGAAACCAAACCAGCCUGUUUCUUUAUAAUCAACGAAAUAGAUCACCGAAAGAAACGAGACCUUUUUGUUGUCCUUGUGAAUGGUGGAAAUCUUAAGCAGUAGUAAUUACAUGCUCUCCCUUUGCCAAUCAAGGGCGGGCGUUGUCUCUGCUGCCUCUGCUUUUGCUUUCGGAUCUUGCAAGGAAGGCUGGUAUUACCGCUGCCUCGGCGUAGACCCCUGAACUCUCAAAUCUCUAUCGAAUUUCAUUGUUUUAGAGAAUUUUUUAUUUUUGAAAAAAAAGCAAGAAACCUAAUUCUCUGUUUUUAACCAUUAUUCGAUCUCCAUUGGGAUCUUCUUUUAUUUGUUUCUUUUUUUCGAUUUUAUUCAAAAACCAAAACGGUUUCCUUUAGAUUUGUUUUUUCGAAAGAGAAAACAAUGUUGCUUUACAAGCCGAAGAAGAAUCAGCCCGCUAAGGGCAACAGGCUCUUGAUUAGUGUGACAGUUUUGGGGAGUGCGGGGCCGAUCCGUUUUGUGGUGAAUGAGGAGGAGCUUGUCGCUGCUGUUAUUGAUACUGCGCUCAAAUCUUAUGCUCGUGAGGGUCGGCUUCCGGUCCUUGGCUCUGAUAUCAACGAUUUCUUCCUUUAUUGUCCCAAUGCUGGGUCAGGAGCUCUGAGCCCAUGGGAAACAAUUGGAUCACUGGGGUCUCGCAAUUUUAUGCUAUGCAAGAAGCCACAACCAGUGAAGGUGGAUGAUGAUGCAAGAUCAAAUUCAGCAAUUACUCAAAAGGGGAGUGGGAGUUGGAAGUCAUGGAUUAACAAGUCCCUCAAUCUUAAGAUCUCUUCUCAUUGAUUCAGUUUCAAGUAAUGGAAGAUAUCAGCUCCUUAUCAACUUCCGACUACUGGAAUUUGUUCUCGGUUACUUCGUUUUUUCUAAUUUCAUCGAAUUGCCAAGUUGAAUUUGGUCAUGUUCCCUUGGCUAAUAUCAAAUUGCUUUCCUUGUUUAGUUAGAAACCUGAAGAGUUGUCAUUCAGGGAAUAAAAUUUGUAUUCUGGCAAGUUUUGCUUUGGAAUAAAAAAUAGAGAUAAUUUUCAAUAUCUUAUUAUUAUUUAUUUCCAAUGACCAGUGUUAUUUGUUAAGCUCUAAAAUGGAAUAUAAAAA